UGCGUAGGUGGUUGUUUAAGUCUGUCGUGAAAGCCCUGGGCUCAACCUGGGAAUUGCGAUGGAAACUGGGCGACUAGAGUGUGGCAGAGGGUAGUGGAAUUCCUGGUGUAGCAGUGAGAUGCGUAGAGAUCAGGAGGAACAUCCGUGGCGAAGGCGACUGCCUGGGCCAACACUGACACUGAGGCACGAAAGCGUGGGGGAGCAAACA
rnacentral:rRNA from 1 species